CCUACGGGAGGCAGCAGUGGGGAAUAUUGCGCAAUGGGCGAAAGCCUGACGCAGCGACGCCGCGUGAGGGAUGAAGGUCUUCGGAUCGUAAACCUCUGUCAGCAGGGAAGAACGGUCACUGUGCUAAUCAGCAGUGAAUUGACGGUACCUGCAAAGGAAGCACCGGCUAACUCCGUGCCAGCAGCCGCGGUAAUACGGAGGGUGAGUGCGGUAAUCUGAAUUACUGGGCGUAAAGGUCUCGUAGGCGGUAAGUCAAGUCAAGGGUGAAAUCCCCCCGCUAAAGGUUAGAAGUGCCUUUGAAACUGGCAAACUUGAGUGUAGUAGAGGGUUGGGGAAUU
rnacentral:rRNA from 1 species